rnacentral:rRNA from 1 species
CCUACGGGUGGCAGCAGUGAGGAAUAUUGGUCAAUGGACGAGAGUCUGAACCAGCCAAGUAGCGUGAAGGAUGACUGCCCUAUGGGUUGUAAACUUCUUUUAUAUGGGAAUAAAAUGUUACACGUGUGGGAUUUUGUAUGUACCAUAUGAAUAAGGAUCGGCUAACUCCGUGCCAGCAGCCGCGGUAAUACGGAGGAUCCGAGCGUUAUCCGGAUUUAUUGGGUUUAAAGGGAGCGUAGGUGGAUUGUUAAGUCAGUUGUGAAAGUUUGCGGCUCAACCGUAAAAUUGCAGUUGAAACUGGCAGUCUUGAGUACAGUAGAGGUGAGCGGAAUUCGUGGUGUAGCGGUGAAAUGCUUAGAUAUCACGAAGAACUCCGAUUGCGAAGGCAGUUCACUGGACUGCAACUGACACUGAGGCUCGAAAGUGUGGGUAUCAAACAGGAUUAGAUACCCCAGUAGUC